GAUGAACGCUGGCGGCGUGCUUAAUACAUGCAAGUCGAACGGAAAGGAAAAAGCUUGAUUGGGAGCUCGAAUGGAGAACGGGCGGGUAAAACGUGGGUGAUAUGCCCUGCAUUUCGGGUCAAUAUUGGGAGACUGGGUCUAAUAAUGGAUAGGAAGAUGGUUUGGUUGGCAUUGUGGAAAGUUAUUUCGGUGUGGGAUGAGCUAGUGGCCUAUCAGCUUGUUGGUGGGGUAAUGGGCUACCAAGGAGUCGCCGGGUAGCCGGCCUGAGAGGGUGUACGGCCACAUUGCGACUCAGAUACGGCCCAGACUCCUACGUGAGUCAGCAGUGUGGAAUAUUGCACAAUCCGCGCAAGCCUGAUGCAGCGACGCCGCGUGAGGGAUGACGGCCUUCGGCUUUCAAACUCCUUUCACCAGGUACGAAGCGUUUUUGUGGCGGUACCUGGAAAAGAAGCACCGGCUAACUACGUG
rnacentral:rRNA from 1 species